rnacentral:rRNA from 1 species
CUGGAGGUAUCAGAAGUGCGAAUGCUGACAUAAGUAACGAUAAAGCGGGUGAAAAGCCCGCUCGCCGGAAGACCAAGGGUUCCUGUCCAACGUUAAUCGGGGCAGGGUGAGUCGACCCCUAAGGCGAGGCCGAAAGGCGUAGUCGAUGGGAAACAGGUUAAUAUUCCUGUACUUGGUGUUACUGCGAAGGGGGGACGGAGAAGGCUAUGUUGGCCGGGCGACGGUUGUCCCGGUUUAAGCGUGUAGGCUGGUUUUCCAGGCAAAUCCGGAAAAUCAAGGCUGAGGCGUGAUGACGAGGCACUACGGUGCUGAAGCAACAAAUGCCCUGCUUCCAGGAAAAGCCUCUAAGCAUCAGGUAACAUCAAAUCGUACCCCAAACCGACACAGGUGGUCAGGUAGAGAAUACCAAGGCGCUUGAGAGAACUCGGGUGAAGGAACUAGGCAAAAUGGUGCCGUAACUUCGGGAGAAGGCACGCUGAUAUGUAGGUGAAGCGACUUGCUCGUGGAGCUGAAAUCAGUCGAAGAUACCAGCUGGCUGCAACUGUUUAUUAAAAACACAGCACUGUGCAAACACGAAAGUGGACGUAUACGGUGUGACGCCUGCCCGGUGCCGGA